AAUGUGAUUGGGGGGUUUCACCCAUGUGGGAUCUAUUUUCCAAUUCAAAUGCUGUAUCUAUGCUGCUCUUCCUUGCUUGUAAAAAUGGUAU